rnacentral:tRNA from 1 species
GCGCCCUUAGCAGAAUGGACAAUGCGUUGGACUUCGGAUCCAAAGAUUGCGGGUUCGAGUCCCGUAGGGCGUA